UAACGCACGCUACGGUGUGGCAAGCGGAAACGCCCCAAUGCUUUACUAUUAGGCAUAGGACACCUACGGCGUGCCUUUUU
ncrna:unclassified sequences c4-2 RNA